rnacentral:rRNA from 2 species
GCAUAUCAAUAAGCGGAGGAAAAGAAACCAACAGGGAUUGCCCCAGUAACGGCGAGUGAAGCGGCAACAGCUCAAAUUUGAAAUCUGGCUCUCGGGCCCGAGUUGUAAUUUGUAGAGGAUGCUUUUGGUGAGGUGCCUUCCGAGUUCCCUGGAACGGGACGCCAUAGAGGGUGAGAGCCCCGUCUGGUUGGACGCCGAACCUCUGUAAAGCUCCUUCGACGAGUCGAGUAGUUUGGGAAUGCUGCUCUAAAUGGGAGGUAUAUGUCUUCUAAAGCUAAAUACCGGCCAGAGACCGAUAGCGCACAAGUAGAGUGAUCGAAAGAUGAAAAGAACUUUGAAAAGAGAGUUAAACAGUACGUGAAAUUGUUGAAAGGGAAGCGCUUGUGACCAGACUUGGGCUUGGUUGAUCAUCCGGGGUUCUCCCCGGUGCACUCUUCCGGCCCAGGCCAGCAUCAGUUCGCCCUGGGGGAUAAAGGCAUCGGGAACGUGGCUCUCUCCGGGGAGUGUUAUAGCCCGUUGCGUAAUACCCUGCGGCGGACUGAGGUUCGCGCAUUCGCAAGGAUGCUGGCGUAAUGGUCAUCAGUGACCCGUCUUGAAACACGGACC